rnacentral:rRNA from 1 species
CGCCUACGGGGGGCAGCAGUGAGGAAUAUUGGUCAAUGGGCGCAAGCCUGAACCAGCCAAGUCGCGUGAGGGAUGACGGUCCUAUGGAUUGUAAACCUCUUUUGUCGGGGAGCAAGGCCCGCCACGUGUGGCGGGAAGGAGAGUACCCGAAGAAAAAGCAUCGGCUAACUCCGUGCCAGCAGCCGCGGUAAUACGGAGGAUGCGAGCGUUAUCCGGAUUUAUUGGGUUUAAAGGGUGCGUAGGCGGGUCGUCGCGUCCGGGGUGAAAGUCCAUAGCUUA